UCCGUAGGUGGAUAAUUAAGUCAGAGGUGAAAUCCUGUAGCUCAACUGUAGAAUUGCCUUUGAUACUGGUUAUCUUGAGUCAUUAUGAAGUGGUUAGAAUGUGUAGUGUAGCGGUGAAAUGCAUAGAUAUUACACAGAAUACCGAUUGCGAAGGCAGAUCACUAAUAAUGUACUGACACUGAGGGACGAAAGCGUGGGGAGCGAACAGGAUUAGAUACCCUGGUAGUCC
rnacentral:rRNA from 1 species